AUUGGCAAUUUGGAGCUGGAAAUGUGGGAACAUGUAAAUAGGUAUAUGUUGAUGAAAGAUGGAAAAGCAAGAUGAAAGUUAUUUUAAGAUAUAGAGUUUCCUUUCUUGAAGAAGAUGUACUCAGUGAAUCGUCGCUUUUGUCACGCCCCAAGCUGGUAAGUCAUGACGAGUGCCCGACCUCUUCUGAUCAAGCACUCCUAAACUCGUAUCUGAACCUUACUAGACAACAUCAUGGCCCAUAUAUGACUUAUAACUUAACUGAACACUUCUUUAAGAAUAACAUAAUAAACUCGGCAUCAAGAACUCAAAACCAACGCAUAUAUAUACAUAUGUGCUGAAGGUAACAGUGCAAGCUGACUAGGCCGCUACAUAUGUUGUAUAACAAAAAUAAGAGUCGACAAGGCUGCAUAACUUCCCAACUACAUGUAACUGUCUACAUACCUCUAUAGAACACAAACUAUAGAAAGGACUUAA